UGACGCGACACGAGCUUCCCCCAAAAAAUCAAAAAAAAUCACACGUGGCUCGAGGUUUCCUUCUUCUCUUGCGAUUCUUCUACGAUUCCACCCGAUCGACGAAUCAAUCACCACAAUCAAGAGCCACCACCAACUUCCCCUCCCUCUUCUCGUCUCACUCACUCGAACAAGUUUCUUUCUCUCUUUCACACCCUUUCCUUCCUCCUCCUCCUCCCCCUUCUCUUCCCUUUUCACUUCUCACACUUUCCUCUUCUCCGCCCGACGUCUAAUGAUCGUCGCCAAGGCUGUGUCAAUCGAGAAAACCGCCAACGACGCGAACACUGUCGUUACGUGUCACCAGCAGGAGAGGAGAGUGUGUCGGGUGCGUGAACGGCACACGCGGUGUGCUGGCGCGUCUAUGGCACACGAGA